rnacentral:lncRNA from 1 species
ACAGCCUGUGGGCUACGGGAACGCGAUCCGACUCGGCGGCCCUCCCUGCCUGGAUGGCCGGUCCCCGAGGCUGAGGAAGUCCAUUCCUCUUUCGGAAAUGGUCCCCAGGAAGCUUCUCCGUGUCCCCCUAUGGCCGGGUACUGAGCGGGGCCCGGGUGGUCUGCGGCCGUGGCCCCCGCCCCUCAGCGCAGGCGACCCUCCUGGCCCUGGCGGGCACAGCGCCUCUCCCGUGACCUGGGCCGGCCCGCAGGAUGAGCCCCCGGAUCACGAUCGCUGGCAUUUUAUUUACCUUCUUCCAUUACAACCCCAGGCGAGUCUCCCGGGCCCCGAGAGGAGGGGGUGACUGGUCAGGGUCAUCGGUAGCGGCGGCAGGGGCCUGCAUAGGGCUGCCUCGGGGCGACUAGCAGAAUGGCCGCCAGCCUCGGCUGCCCCAGCCCCCAGCGCAUGGAAUGUGCCCCGGGCCCCAGGAGCUCCAGGAACCGCGCUUGUGAGACGGAGCUUCGGCUGCUUGGAGCUAGUGAGCCACCGGCCACGGCAGGGAUUUGAGCAGAACUUGGGGGCAGAGGGAUGAGAUGGUGCAUCCCUUGAGGUCACUUCAGGAGAUGACACUCCUGUGGCUAAGUGUAGCUUCCCAGGUCAUGGCUCCCAGGUCAGGCCUGGUCAAUGGAGAAUUAAGUGGGCGUUGGGUGGUGGAUGGAUGUGAUUUGGCAGAGGGGACAAAUGUGACAACAGUGUAAUAAGGGCCAUGUUGGGGAGGGUCAGGGGUCAGGGUCCGGCCCAACCUGAGCAGAAGGGAGGCUGCUCUCAGGGAUAUUUGUCAGGUAGGAAUGGGUGGAGUGGAACUACAGGGCCACCAUGUUUCCCAUGGGUCACCCAUGGUGGCCUUGUCAUGUUUAUCCGUGAUCCUCAGUGUUCUCUGUGGUCCUCCCGUCACCCCUUUCAGACUGUCCUUUCAGUUCUCCACUGUCCCUGCAUCACCUCUGCCCCUGUCCCGUUUGUCUGUGUUCAGUCCAUGUUCCCAGGUCUUGAGGUGGCCCCUGGUUCUAUGCCCCUUACCUAAGACCCUGUGCAGGGAAUCUGUGAAAACACAGAGGAAAUAAAAAGUGAGGAAAAUAG